AUGAACCCUAUCGGCAGGCUUAAUACAUGCAAGUUGUACGGGAUUUCGGGUAGCAAUACCUGGAUGAGAGUAGCGCACGGGUGCGUAACGCGUAUGCAACCUACCUUUAACCGGGACACAACCAUGAGAAAUUGUGGCUAAUAUCCCAUAACACUGCGAUGUGGCAUCACAAUGCAGUUAAAGCUCCGGCGGUUAUAGAUGGGCAUGCGUGACAUUAGCUAGUUGGUGAGGUAACGGCUCACCAAGGCUACGAUGUCUAGGGGUUCUGAGAGGAUUAUCCCCCACACUGGUACUGAGACACGGACCAGACUCCUACGGGAGGCAGCAGUAAGGAAUAUUGGGCAAUGGACGCAAGUCUGACCCAGCCAUGCCGCGUGAAGGAUGAAGGCCCUAUGGGUUGUAAACUUCUUUUAUACGGGAAAAAACCACCGGUCGUGUAUCGGUGCUGAUGGUACCGUAAGAAUAAGCAUCGGCUAACUCCGUGCCAGCAGCCGCGGUAAUACGGAGGAUGCAAGCGUUAUCCGGAUUCAUUGGGUUUAAAGGGUGCGCAGGCGGAUUAAUAAGUCAGUGGUGAAAUCCUACGGCUCAACUGUAGAACUGCCAUUGAUACUGUUAGUCUUGAGUAUUGUUGAGGUAGGCGGAAUGUGUCAUGUAGCGGUGAAAUGCUUAGAUAUGACACAGAACACCAAUCGCGAAGGCAGCUUACCAAGCAAUAACUGACGCUCAUGCACGAAAGCGUGGGGAUCAAACAGGAUUAGAUACCCUGGUAGUCCACGCUGUAAACGAUGAACACUCGAUGUUGGCGAUACACAGUCAGCGUCUGAGCGAAAGUAUUAAGUGUUCCACCUGGGGAGUACGGUCGCAAGAUUG
rnacentral:rRNA from 1 species